UAUAACUUUGGAUUCAGAAUGAACAGGUUCUUCUCUGUAAUUUUUUUUAUCAAAGAUUACUUACAAGACAGCAUCAGAAAUGGGUGCUUAACAAAAACAGAGAAGGAAAAAUGCGUUGGUAUUUUGUAUGGCUUGCAUAAGACAACAAUGAGGAUGAGAAGAAAAGAAUGACAAUUUAACUAGACUGAUGGAUUCUGAAGUGCUGAAAUACUGCGAGAGGCAAUUCUCAUAAUACUUUUGAAGUACUGACCCAGCAAUCCCAUGAGAGCCUCUGUUCACGAGGUGUUGUGUCUGAUUCCAGAACAAAGAGAACUGAGUACAUUCAGGUGGAUGUAAUGUUGAGAAAGAAGCUGGCCUGACAGCACUGGAAGUUGAAGCCACAGAGCAGGGCCUUGUAACACUGUGGGCAGAACAUCAGAAUUUAGCUGGAG